AGAGAGAGACAUGCGCGCAUAUCAAUAAGCGGAGGAAAAGAAACUAACAAGGAUUCCCUUAGUAGCGGCGAGUGAAGCGGGAAGAGCUCAAAUUUGAAAUCUUCAAGGUUUUACCUUGACGAAUUGUAGUUUAAAGAAGUGUUUUCUGCUGAAGUUUUGGUAAAAGUUCUUUGGAAUAGGACAUCAUAGAGGGUGAGAAUCCCGUAUUUGACCAUUAUUUUCAGCUUUGUGAUACACUUUCAAAGAGUCGGAUUGUUUGGGAAUGCAGUCCAAAAUGGGUGGUAAACUUCAUCUAAAGCUAAAUAUUGGCGAGAGACCGAUAGCGAACAAGUACCGUGAGGGAAAGAUGAAAAGAACUUUGAAAAGAGAGUUAAACAGUACGUGAAAUUGUCAAAAGGGAAGCGUUUGACACCAGUGUUGUUUUCUCGAAAAUCAAUUAAAAAUGGCUCGAUUUUGUAUUGUUGAGACCUUAAAAGCUCACUGUACAUUUUUCGUGUCUUUUUUAAUGCACUUUUCGUUUAACAAGUCAACAUCAGUUUCUUUUGUUGUAAAAGGGUCAUUGGAAGGUGGCUUUCUUUUCGGAGAAAGUGUUUAUAGCCUUUGGCCUCUGCAAUCGGGAGAGACUGAGGUCUGCAGCGUAGACUCUUCGGGGUUAGAUACAUUUGUGCUAAGUUAUAGCUUUUUAUAGACAACUUGUUGACUAUAAUUAGUCUUGUAGCUUACUCGCUUAUGCUAUUUUACCUACGCUUAGGAUGUUGAGUCGUAGAGCACGCAG
rnacentral:rRNA from 1 species